CCUCUAAUAGGAGCUAUAGAUAGUGGAUUUCAAGAGAGUACCAAGGUCGCUACUCCAUAACGGCCAGAAGAGCAAACCAAAAACAUCAGAGUAAACACAGAAACCUCACAUCCCAGGGAGGUUUGCUUAACAAAAAUAUCAAGACCUGGGAUACCUGGAAAACUGCAGGCCCUGCUAGAAAUUUUCCAUGCUCUUCAUUCAUCCUCCUGUAUUUCCUAAGGCCAAUAAAAGAGGAGAUCCCUGA